rnacentral:rRNA from 1 species
GAAAAGAAACCAACAGGGAUUGCCUCAGUAACGGCGAGUGAAGCGGCAACAGCUCAAAUUUGAAAUCUGGCCUCUUCGGGGUCCGAGUUGUAAUUUGUAGAGGAUGUUUCGGGUACCGCCCCGGUCUAAAUUUCUUGGAACAGAAUGUCAAAGAGGGUGAGAAUCCCGUCUUGGACCGGCGGUAGGGCCUAUGUGAAACUCCUUCGACGAGUCGAGUUGUUUGGGAAUGCAGCUCAAAAUGGGUGGUAUAUUUCAUCUAAAGCUAAAUAUUGGCCAGAGACCGAUAGCGCACAAGUAGAGUGAUCGAAAGAUGAAAAGCACUUUGAAAAGAGAGUUAAACAGUACGUGAAAUUGUUGAAAGGGAAGCGCUUGCAAUCAGACUUGAGCGCGGCGGUUCCCCCUUCCUUUUGGCUGGGUUAUUCCGCCGUGUCCAGGCCAACAUCGGUUCUGGGGGUCGGCUAAAGGCUCUGGGAAUGUAUCUUCCUUCGGGUUGACUUAUAGCCCAGGGUGUCAUGCGACCUCCCGGGACCGAGGAACGCGCUUCGGCUCGGACGUUGGCGUAAUGGUUGUCAGCGAC